GACGAACGCUGGCGGCGUGCUUAACACAUGCAAGUCGAACGGAAAGGCCCUGCUUUUGUGGGGUGCUCGAGUGGCGAACGGGUGAGUAACACGUGAGUAACCUGCCCUUGACUUUGGGAUAACUUCAGGAAACUGGGGCUAAUACCGGAUAGGAGCUCCUGCUGCAUGGUGGGGGUUGGAAAGUUUCGGCGGUUGGGGAUGGACUCGCGGCUUAUCAGCUUGUUGGUGGGGUAGUGGCUUACCAAGGCUUUGACGGGUAGCCGGCCUGAGAGGGUGACCGGCCACAUUGGGACUGAGAUACGGCCCAGACUCCUACGGGAGGCAGCAGUGGGGAAUAUUGCACAAUGGGCGGAAGCCUGAUGCAGCAACGCCGCGUGCGGGAUGACGGCCUUCGGGUUGUAAACCGCUUUCGCCUGUGACGAAGCGUGAGUGACGGUAAUGGGUAAAGAAGCACCGGCUAACUACGUGCCAGCAGCCGCGGUGAUACGUAGGGUGCGAGCGUUGUCCGGAUUUAUUGGGCGUAAAGGGCUCGUAGGUGGUUGAUCGCGUCGGAAGUGUAAUCUUGGGGCUUAACCCUGAGCGUGCUUUCGAUACGGGUUGACUUGAGGAAGGUAGGGGAGAAUGGAAUUCCUGGUGGAGCGGUGGAAUGCGCAGAUAUCAGGAGGAACACCAGUGGGCGAAGGGGGUUCUCUGGGCCUUUCCUGACGCUGAGGAGCGAAAGCGUGGGGAGCGAACAGGCUUAGACACCCUGGUAGUCCACGCUGUAAACGGUGGGUACUAGGUGUGGGGUCCAUUCCACGGGUUCCGUGCCGUAGCUAACGCUUUAAGUACCCCGCCUGGGGAGUACGGCCGCAAGGCUAAAACUCAAAGGAAUUGACGGGGCCCCGCACAAGCGGCGGAGCAUGCGGAUUAAUUCGAUGCAACGCGUAGAACCUUACCUGGGUUUGACAUGGAUCGGGAGUGCUCAGAGAUGGGUGUGCCUCUUUUGGGGUCGGUUCACAGGUGGUGCAUGCCUGUCGUCAGCUCGUGUCGUGAGAUGUUGGGUUAAGUCCCGCAACGAGCGCAACCCUUGUUCACUGUUGCCAGCACGUUAUGGUGGGGACUCAGUGGAGACCGCCGGGGUCAACUCGGAGGAAGGUGGGGAUGACGUCAAGUCAUCAUGCCCCUUAUGUCCAGGGCUUCACGCAUGCUACAAUGGCUGGUACAGAGAGUGGCGAGCCUGUGAGGGUGAGCGAAUCUCGGAAAGCCGGUCUCAGUUCGGAUUGGGGUCUGCAACUCGACCUCAUGAAGUCGGAGUCGCUAGUAAUCGCAGAUCAGCAACGCUGCGGUGAAUAAAUUCCCGGG
rnacentral:rRNA from 1 species